UAGGGAAUUUUGCGCAAUGGGGGAAACCCUGACGCAGCGACGCCGCGUGAGUGAUGGAGGCCUUCGGGUUGUAAAGCUCUGUCGAGAGGGACGAAUGUUUGUAGGUCUAAUAGGCCUAUGGAGUGACGGUACCUCUGGAGGAAGCACCGGCUAACUCUGUGCCAGCAGCCGCGGUAAUACAGAGGGUGCUAGCGUUAUUCGGAAUUACUGGGCGUAUAGCGUAUGUAGGCGGAUUAUCAAGUCAAGUGUGAAAUCCCGGGGCUUAACUCCGGAAUGGCAUUUGAAACUGGUAGACUAGAGUUCGGAAGAGGGUUGUGGAAUUCCUGGUGUAGAGGUGAAAUUCGUAGAUAUCAGGAGGAACACCUGCGGCGAAGGCGGCAACCUGGUCCGAUACUGACGCUGAGAUACGAGAGCGUGGGUAGCGAACAGG
rnacentral:rRNA from 1 species